GUAAUAUUGGCAUGUAGGGAAAGGAUGGUGGAAAAGGAUAAUAAUUUGUCUUUUUUUUUUGAGACGAAGUUUCACUGUGUUGCCCAAGGUGGAGUGCAGUGACGCUCUCUUGGCUCACUGCAACCUCUGCCUCCUGGGUUCCAGUGAUUCUCCUGCCUCACUCUCCGAAGUAGCUGGUGCCCACCACCAUGCCCAGCUAAGUUUUGUAUUUUUAGUAGAGACAGGGUUUAACCAUUUUGGCCAGGCAGGUCUCAAACUCCUGACCUCAGGCUAUCCACCCAUGCUGGCCUCUCAAAGUGCUGAGAUUACAGGUGUGAGCCACUGCGCCUGGCCAAUACUUUGUCUUAAAUGAACUUUAGAAAAAAAGACCUAUGCUUUUUUCUCUCCCUGAAGAUACAGAGAUGUUAAAACUGGGGUAGAAAGGUGCAAGAUUUUGAGCCCAGCAUCUGUUAGGAUUGGGUACUGGCUUUUGUCUCCUAUCCCUGACCUAGGAACUUCUCUGCCCAAGGAUAGGAUCCAUUGGCCUGCUGUCACUGGUGUUGGGGCUUAGGACAUAUUAUGCCAAAAUAUGACAUCAUGGAGGUCACUCACUGACGUUUUCUUUUUUUGUUGUUUUCCUUUCUUUUUUUCUUUUUCUUUUUUGAGAUGAAGUUUUGCUCUUGUUGCCCAGGCUGGAGUACAAUGGCACAAUCUUGACUCAGUGUAACCUCCACCACCUGGAUUCAGGUGAUUCUCCUUCCUCAGCCUCCUGAGUACCUGAGAUUAGAGGCAGGCAGGUGCCACCAUGCCCAGCUAAUUUUGUGUUUUUAGUAGAGAUGGCAUUUCACCAUAGUGGUCAGGCUGGUCUUGAACCCCUGACCUCAGGUGACCCACCCGCCUCAGCCUCCAAAAGUGCUGGGAGUACAGGCAUGACGCAUCACUGACUCAUUCUAACCUUUCUGUGUGAAAGCUGUCCAUAAAAUUAUUGUCUGACAUACCUCCCUUGAAAGUAGUUCAUAAGACUCUCGUGUGGCAUAUGUCCUGCACCAUACACAAAGGGAAAGGAUACAAUAGAGAGAGGCUAAAAAGAAUCUGAACUCCCAGGCCUUAAAGUUUACCCAAUUUAUUAUCAUAUCAUAAAUUAUUUUGUCCUAUAAUACUUCUACAUUACCUGUCCAUUCUAUCUUUUUUCUUUCUCUUUCUUUUUUUUUUGAUACAAGGUCUCACUCUGUCAUGCAUGAUGGACUGCAGUGGUGCAAUCAUGGCUCACUGUAGCUUCGACCACCCUGGCUCCGGUCAUCAUCCUACCUCAGCCUCCCAGGUAUGUGGGAUUACAGGAACUGGGAUCCUAAAAAUUAUGGAACGAAUUGUAGAAACUCAAGCAACUUUCUCCAAAGCCUAGGGUUCAGCAAGAGUAAGCAAGAGGCACUGAGCCGCUGGAGUCUGCACAUUGAUAAAUUUACUUACAGUCGUAAAUAAAUUGCAUCAUCUUCAGCUAGUAACACAGAGUCUAAUUUUUAUAGCGGCAUACUUGCCUCCACGACUUUCCUAGACACCAGAAAGAAAGGCGAGAGCCAGCCUUAGCCUAAUCAAGAACCAUGAUCCAAAAAGGAGUGGGAGGAACCUAGCGGCCACGUGGGAAUCCCAGCCCUCCUAUUAAGCCUACCCUCUUUGCAAAUUGUGACUGUGAGCUCCUGGUUUACAGAAAUAUAUCCCAGAACUCAAGCAACAUGAGCCACUAUAAUUGUCUCUGGAAGGUGACCCAUUUGCAGAUAGGGACUUCCCUGAAGGUUGGGGCCCUCAUGAGCUAUGCUUUCCACCAAGUUGUCUCUAUAAGGACCAGUUCCAGGACCUCAGGGAGGAAAUUUCACUUUCUGCCUUGGUGGAAUGUGAAGUGAGUGGCUCCCCGGCCACACCCCACCCUCCAUAAAAUAGAAGGUAAAUCCCAACUGCCAAAAGCUUUUUGUCCUCCUCUCAGGGAUACUAAUUAAAGCAGUUGGGCUACUUUUUCAUGCAUUUCAUCUCAAGUUGUCUUUCUGCCUAUCUCCUGAGCCCAGCGAAAGAGUUCCUUAAAAUAACCCUCAAACCUCUGUAGUAAAGGACCACACAAAUAACGAAUGCCAUGAAAAAACAGGGCUAGAGGUUUCAGAGGAUGAGAAAGGAAGAGCAGCCAGAACACUGGCUGUCUAGGUAUGCUACUGGUGCCUGACUCUGCACCUGUGUGUGUCUGUGUGCUGUGUUCCAAUGGCAGAGCAUCGGGGCCACCAGAACUCUCUCAGCUACCGCACAUGGAGAGGGAGGAGUGAUAAAGAGAAAUCAAGAAACUCAGUUUCUUUGAAAUGGAAAUCAAUAAACUCAGUUUCCUCAAAGUUCAAAAUACAUGAGACUGCCUACCCUCCUUGGAAGGCAAGGUGGGGCUUUCUGAAGCAAAUACCAGCUUUAAAAAAAAAUGUAUAUAUAUAUGAAGAUAUAUACAAAAAAAAAAUUUCCCCACAACCAGACAAUCAGAAUCAUCAAACCCAGAAGGGUUAAAGAAAAAGAAAAGGCCCAGGAAAGUAUGAUUGGUGGGGAUCAAAAGUAUCUCUCCACAGUGGUAAAUGAGAAUUCUCAAAAAGAGUAAAAUUAUAAUUCUCAUGCACAUAUAAAAUAAAUAUGUAUUACAGAUUUUACUUAAACCAUAUAGCUCAAAAUUAGCUAACAAGGAAGACAUUAUAACCUGUUCAAAGAGAAGCCAAAGAAGGGAAAUUUAUAUGCUGUAAAGAAAUAUUUAAAGGAAUAUGGCAAAACUGACUCUUAAUAGGAGAUGCCCUAUGUGGUACAUAAUUUGUUUGUGUAUCUACACACAUGAAUUAUUUUGCACUUGUAUCACUAUCUACAACUUACACUGUUGUAAAGUAACUCCCACACAAUCAGAAUCAUAUAACCCAAAAAGGUAUCUUCCCUAACCAAACAAGGUUUUCCAAUAAAGCACUAUUUUG
rnacentral:lncRNA from 10 species